rnacentral:pre_miRNA from 1 species
UGGACAGAUUAUUGUAUUCGAUUGUAUUCACGGCGUGAAACAGGGGAUUGCAUUAUUUUUAAACGAAAAGUGAAUCAAUAACAUAAUAGACUCCU